AGAAAUCUUUCAUCGUAAAUUGUAUAGCUGUAAUAAUUUCGAAGAAAUUCUUAUUCUUCAUCAGGAUCAGAUCAGAAAGUAAGCAGAAGACGGACACACGGAUGGAUGGUGAAGGCGAUAAUGAUUAUAAUGACUCAAGGGAUUGACACUUUAUGACUUUUUGUGUGGGAAAAUCAGGUGCAUUUUUGUUGCUGUCCUGCGCUGUCCCUUACCGUUUUAUUAUUCCAUAUUCGCUCCUUGGGCAAUAUUGUUGAUGUCUUAAUAAUGCUUCCUUCUUCCUGGAUAAUCACUUUCUCUUCUCGAUUUUUAUUAUUUACCCAAAAAUGAAAUUUUCUUGUUGUUGUUUUUGAUGUGCUUGGAUGGACGACACAGAGCAUUGAUAUUGGGGACACGUUUUCUCGUUUUCUCUUCUUUACCUUGCGAAGUAAAGGUACGUGGUAAAAUAGAAAGUACUGUGCGAGAAGAAGAAGCAAAACGUGAAAAUUGUUGUUCAUGAAGUGAACUUUGAGCAAAAGGAUAACAAUUUUUACUUCAAGGUGAAGUCAAGUUGACGGAAUACUAAUCACGUGAAUGGUUGAGUACACUUUGGCCUUGAGAUUUUAUUGCUUUAUGCUUGACUAUGACAGGUAGCUCUACGUUUAUAUCCCUUGAAGCCGUUUUGAGAUCUUCUUUAGCAGAUUGGAGAGAAUAUUAUAUAUCUUCUGUAUAUAUUUUCAUUUAU